rnacentral:rRNA from 1 species
GAUCCUGGCUCAGGAUGAACGCUAGCGAUAGGCUUAACACAUGCAAGUCGAGGGGUAACGUGUUGGAAGCUUGCUUCCGAUGACGACGACCGGCGGAUGGGUGCGUAACGCGUAUGCAACUUGCCUCACAGUGGAGAAUAACCCGGAGAAAUCCGGACUAAUGCUCCAUACACUCUUAAGUACGCCUGUACAUGAGAGGAAAGAUUUAUCGCUGUGAGGUAGGCAUGCGU